rnacentral:lncRNA from 1 species
GCCAAAGCAAGAACAAAGGAAGAAAAAAAAGAACAAGAACCCUAGGGUGAAAAUUCAAGAGAAAAUUGGUGGAUUUCAAGUAAUCAAGCAAUCAAAGGUAAAAUUUCUUGAUUUUGACUUGUGAUCUACCUUUCCCAUACAUUCUUUUGCAUUUUCCAUGGUUGAAUCACAUGAUUUCAUGAUGGGUAUCUUGCUGGCUGAACACUUAGAGAGAGGUUUUGAUGCUUGAUUUGGUUAGAUUUCAAUGGAUUUUAGUGUUUUUAGUUGAUUGGUGAUGUGUAGCAUGAAAAUCAAGCAAGAAAAAUUCAUGUUCUUCCAUCACCCAUCAUUGGCUGAAUUCUCCAUGUGGAAUAUUGAGGAUGAUUUUGAUUUUAUUUCAAGUGAUUUGGUUAGGAAUUAGUGAUUUAUGGUGUGAGAAUCAAGUAGGAAAAAUUAUAGUGUUGAUGCACCCACCAUGGCUGAAUUUUCCAAGAGAAAAUGUGAGGAUGAUUUUGCCAUAUUUCAAGUUAUUUAAUUUGUGUUUGAUGAUUUGGAGUAUUGGGAGAAAAAUGGAAUUAUUUGGAGUUGAAUUGGACGUAUUGGCCAAUUAAUCGGGUGAUAGAUCGAAGUAGGCCAAUACCGUUUUAUUUAGGUACAUAAUUGAAUUUAUAUUGAAUAUCGUAUUUAGAUAGUAUUUCACAUCCCAUUUCAUGCAUUAGAAUAGAGCUUGAAUUGGUUUUAUAACAAUUUAGCACAAAUGUAGUAAAUGGCUUAUUGUGCAUUAUGUCUAGGUGGUGGGCAUUCUGGCAAAAGUAAAGAUAUAGUACCCGAGGAUCAAGAAUCGAAGUACUCAAAAUUUGACUCCCGAAAUAGUGAGUAACCUUAUCAUCAUCUUGAUUAUCUGAAGUGAAUUUUAAUUCGUUUUUGUGAUUUUAUGAAAAAUGAGUUUAAAUGGAAAAUCUUUAUGUUUUAUAAACAAAAUGUGUUUAAAUAAAAUGAUUUUAUAAAAUUGUCUUGAAAUUGAAUGAUGGUUUUGAAAAUGGAGUAAUUGGAGACUAAUUACUGUGUUAUAAAUCAUGGCUGUGUUAUAAAUCAUGGUUUGAAUUGAAUGGCUUAUGAUAAUAUUGGCAUGAAUGGUUGAUUUGGUAAAUGUGCUGAAAAAGUAUGAACUAUUGAUUUGCCUUGAGAGGCUGUAAAAUAAAAUAAUUGCCAUGUCAUGCUGUUGAAUUUUAUUGAAUUGGUGGGUUAAUAUUGGUCGUUGCAGUGGACGGUUCCGUGGACUAGCCUAUUAGAGGGACACGGUAACCCUAUUAUAUUCAUACCUCAGUAUGAGAGGCACGGAUGGAUAACUCCUGAGGUUAACACUUUAGAGUUCACUUCACGUUAAACCACCACAUGAGGGUGAACUUAGCCAACGCCAAGGAACGACUAUAUUUUCAAAAUAAAAACAUGAUUUAUGCGUACAAAAUUUUUUAAUAGCCUUGGUGGACUCGGUUGGGAUAGCCCUCAGCCAAGGUAUCCCUUAUAACUGAGUAUGAGAAUGAUUUUGGCACGAGCCAAACUUUUCAAGAAAUCAUAAGCCUCAUUGUUUAUUUUGGUGAAAUGAAUCUAUUUUACCUUAUUAAAAUGAGUUCGAAAUGCUGAGAAUCAUUUUUAUGCUAAUAUAUUUUAUCUGUCUCCAUUUACUCAGCUUAAAAUACUUUAGAUGGUAUUUGUUUACUCACUGGGAUUAUAUAAUCUCACCACUCUCCUUUUCACCCAUUUCAGGCUUAGGAUAGUCGGUAGAUAGCUCAUUUUGUUGAGGGCUACAGUUGGACUUGCAUCCUAAAAAACUGUAAGUUUACCGCUUUUGAUACUUUUGGUCGUUUGUGGGCCCACGUGUCAUUGUAAAUUGAAUUUUAUACUUUGGUUAUCUAUAUUACAGUAUGUAUGAAUUUAUUUAGCUUUUACGCUACAAAAAAUUAUUUACCGGUAACUCUAUAAAUAUUGUUUUAUAAGAAAAUAGAAUAUUUUAUUGAAUAUUUUUAUUAUAUUCAAAU